GGCGAGAUGGCCGAGCGGUCUAAGGCGCCAGACUAAGGUGAUCCCGAUAUGGGAGGUCACGUGCAUCUGGUCCGAAAGGGCGUGGGUUCGAAUCCCACUCUCGUCA